GUUACAGAUGUCCAGACUCCAAAUGCCAGUUCCUUCUGGGUGUUCAGCCACUGUGUUAAUCCUCUGUGGGGACCUGCUACUCGCUGCUCUGGUGAGGUGUUCCGCCAGGGCAAUUUCCUACCUGGGAGCACUCUUUGGAUCAUGUAACUCAGGCUGGCUGGAGUCCCCCGCAGAGAUGCUCCACAGGGCAGGCUUAAGCCACCUGAGGGGCUGCCUCAGCUGCCCAUCAGUUACCUCAUUUCCCAGUCAGAGAACCAAGAAAUGUAGCAGGACAAUCCGCAGAAAAAAACCUCUCAGACACUGAGUUGUAGAAGGAAGGGCUUUAUUCAGCUGGGAGCAUCAGCAAGCUACUGCUUUAAAAUCCGAGCUCUCCAAAUGCACGAUUUCUGUCCUUUUUAAAGGCUCACAACGCUAAAGAUUUCACAUGAAAGGGUCAGAUUGAUUUGAACAAGCAAGGGGUAUGUGACAGGGGCUGCAUGCACCAGUGGUCAGGGAGGAACAGAACAGGGCGGGGAGUUUCACAGUGUUCUUCUAUACAAUGUCUGGAAUCUAUGAAUAACAUUGAUUUUUAAGUUAUGAGUUGAUUUUUAACUACUAGGUUUAGGCCAGGCAGGCCCAGGGCUGGUUUUGGGCCUGGCGCCAGGCUGCCUGUCUUUGAUUUCACUUCCUUGUUUUUUUCUUAAAACAGGUACUGAGUAUAAAACAAUAAAACAAUAUGAGAGGGUCUCUCUCUUCCCUCACCAGAGGGGGCCAAAGUUUUAUGAGACAUCUCCUCAUCUGUGCACAGAUGGGUGGCGGACUCUGGAGUCCAGGCUGUUGCUUCCCAUUCUAGUGGUGAAUCUUCCAUAGUCUGGUAUUGUUGUCUCUAACCCAGACCUGAUCACCUGGCUACAGCAAGGAAAAGAAACUUUGACCAUGAAGAGACAGGUGAUGAUUGCCAAACACACAGAUGGACUCACAGCCUGUCACCCAGGCUGGAGUGCAGUGC
rnacentral:lncRNA from 1 species